rnacentral:tRNA from 1 species
GGAGGGGUGGCUGAGCGGACGAAAGCGGCCGACUCGAAAUCGGUUGUGCCUUUACGGCACCGCAGGUUCGAAUCCUGCCCUCUCCGCCA